GACGGGACCCGCACAAGCGGUGGAUGAUGUGGUUUAAUUCGAUGCAACGCGAAAACCUUACCUACCUUUGACAUGUACGGAAUUCGCCAGAGAUGGCUUGGUGCUCGAAAGAGAACCGUAACACAGGUGCUGCAUGGCUGUCGUCAGCUCGUGUCGUGAGAUGUUGGGUUAAGUCCCGCAACGAGCGCAACCCUUGUCAUUAGUUGCUACAUUUAGUUGGGCACUCUAAUGAGACUGCCGGUGACAAACCGGAGGAAGGUGGGGAUGACGUCAAGUCCUCAUGGCCCUUAUAGGUAGGGCUACACACGUCAUACAAUGGAUGGUACAAAGGGUCGCCAACCCGCGAGGGGGAGCCAAUCCCAUAAAACCAUUCGUAGUCCGGAUCGCAGUCUGCAACUCGACUGCGUGAAGUCGGAAUCGCUAGUAAUCGUGGAUCAGAAUGUCACGGUGAAUACGUUCCCGGGUCUU
rnacentral:rRNA from 1 species